CCUACGGGUGGCAGCAGUGAGGAAUAUUGGUCAAUGGCCGGAAGGCUGAACCAGCCAUGCCGCGUGAAGGUCAGUGCCCUAUGGGCGUUAAACUUCUUUUGUGCGGGAGCAAUAAUGGUCACGUGUGGCCAGACGAGAGUACCGUACGAAUAAGCAUCGGCUCACUCCGUGCCAGCAGCCGCGGUAAUUCGGGGGAUGCAAGCGUUAUCCGGAGUUAUUGGGUUUAAAGGGUGCGUAGGCUGCGAGGUAAGUCAGCGGUGAAAUGCCCCCGCUCAACGGGGUGAAGUGCCAUUGAUACUGCCUGGCUGGAAUGCGGAUGCGGUGGGAGGAAUGUGUGGUGUAGCGGUGAAAUGCAUAGAUAUCACACAGAACACCGAUUGCGAAGGCAUCUCACGAAUCCGCGAUUGACGCUGAUGCACGAAAGCGUGGGUAUCAAACAGGAUUAGAUACCCCUGUAGUC
rnacentral:rRNA from 1 species